CUGCUGUGAGGGCGGAGCUGGUCAAAGUGUUCGGGGAGAGUCUUCAUUUUGACGUGGAGGUGAAGCCUCAGAGCCCCGCCUCCAACCAGGCGGCUGUCAUCGCUCUGGCAACCUUGUUGGCCCUGAGCAUGCUGGGAUUGAUUGUCGCUGUCGCCUUGAUCAUCAGGUUUAAGAGGACACAGAAACAUCAAGAUUCUGACAAGGAGAGUUUUGACAUCGACCGACACGCUGAAGGUUACACGUAAGUCCUCCCAAUGUUCAAACGUCUUCACAGUUCUCCAUUUGACGCCUGCUUUUAAUAGAAAUCCCUCCCAUUUGUUCCAGGAACUGGUCACAGGAGAGUCCUGAAACAUCUGAACAGGUAAAAGAGAAAAAAAAAGAAAAAAUUUAAAGUGUUGCGAUGACAUAAGUUGACAGUCAGUCCUGUGAGAACCACGUAUCUCUCAAAAGUUUUUAAACUUUUAAUGGUGUCAGCUUUGUGACGAUGCAUUUGAUCAGCUGAUCAAAGAGGCUUUUUAAAGACUUUAUUUAGUUUUGAAGGAGGAGAGGUUUCCCAACACGUAAAGGAACAUCCUUCAGUUUAUCACAAACAUUCAACAUCAACACAUCUGGAGAUGCGUGGUUUUCACUGGACAGG
rnacentral:lncRNA from 1 species